AGAGUUUGAUCCUGGCUUCAGGAUGAACGCUGACAGAAUGCUUAACACAUGCAAGUCGACUGGAAUUCUUCUUCGGAAGAUAGUACGGUGGCGGACGGGUGAGUAACGCGUAAAGAAUUUGCCCUUCAGACUGGGACAACUAACCGAAAGGUUAGCUAAUACCGGAUAUUAUGAGACCUUGGCAUCAAGGACUUAUGAAAGCUAUAUGCGCUGAAGGAGAACUUUGCGUCCCAUUAGGUAGUUGGUAGGGUAAUGGCCUACCAAGCCGACGAUGGGUAGCCGGCCUGAGAGGGUGAACGGCCACAAGGGGACUGAGACACGGCCCUUACUCCUACGGGAGGCAGCAGUGGGGAAUAUUGGACAAUGGACCAAAAGUCUGAUCCAGCAAUUCUGUGUGCACGAUGAAGGUCUUCGGAUUGUAAAGUGCUUUCAGGUGGGAAGAAGAAAGUGACGUACCACCAGAAGAAGCGACGCUAAAUA
rnacentral:rRNA from 1 species